rnacentral:misc_RNA from 1 species
AACCAUUCUCACCUGCGGCUAGACCUGCGGAGGGAUCAUUACCGAGUUUACAACUCCCAAACCCCUGUGAACAUACCAAUUGUUGCCUCGGCGGAUCAGCCCGCUCCCGGUAAAACGGGGCGGCCCGCCAGAGGACUCCUAAACUCUGUUUCUAUAUGUAACUUCUGAGUAAAACCAUAAAUAAAUCAAAACUUUCAGCAACGGAUCU